UGCUAAUCUGCGAUAAGCGUCGGUAAGGUGAUAUGAACCGUUAUAACCGGCGAUUUCCGAAUGGGGAAACCCAGUGUGUUUCGACACACUAUCAUUAACUGAAUCCAUAGGUUAAUGAGGCGAACCGGGGGAACUGAAACAUCUAAGUACCCCGAGGAAAAGAAAUCAACCGAGAUUCCCCCAGUAGCGGCGAGCGAACGGGGAGCAGCCCAGAGCCUGAAUCAGUGUGUGUGUUAGUGGAAGCGUCUGGAAAGGCGUGCGAUACAGGGUGACAGCCCCGUACACAAAAAUGCACAUGCUGUGAGCUCGAUGAGUAGGGCGGGACACGUGGUAUCCUGUCUGAAUAUGGGGGGACCAUCCUCCAAGGCUAAAUACUCCUGACUGACCGAUAGUGAACCAGUACCGUGAGGGAAAGGCGAAAAGAACCCCGGCGAGGGGAGUGAAAAAGAACCUGAAACCGUGUACGUACAAGCAGUGGGAGCACGCUUAGGCGUGUGACUGCGUACCUUUUGUAUAAUGGGUCAGCGACUUAUAUUCUGUAGCAAGGUUAACCGAAUAGGGGAGCCGAAGGGAAACCGAGUCUUAACUGGGCGUUAAGUUGCAGGGUAUAGACCCGAAACCCGGUGAUCUAGCCAUGGGCAGGUUGAAGGUUGGGUAACACUAACUGGAGGACCGAACCGACUAA
rnacentral:rRNA from 1 species